GGGACUGACUGGUAUCGACAGGAAAGAAUACUGGUAAGUAAGCAUGUCGGAGCAAGAUUGUUCACUCCGUUAAAAAAUGAUAAUCGAACAAUAAUUGGCGAAAGAAACUUCGCAUUGGCUGCCUAAUCAAGGAUUAGACACCUUUUAUGCCGCUCGGUUGACGUCCGAUACAGACCGAUAGCCGCAUAUUAACAAACCCUCGGGCUAGAUGAUGUGAGAGUUCCGGCACGGAUUCGAAAUUUAAGGAACUAAGAUGAGGAUAUCGCGGUGCUUAUGCCUGUCCGAUUCUGACAAUCUGGAAUAAGUGCUAAACAUGUAGAAAGCUUAUGAGUGCUUUGUCUGGACCGGGGUUCGACUCCCCGCAGUUCCACUU
rnacentral:tmRNA from 1 species